rnacentral:misc_RNA from 1 species
AAGAGCAGAUGAAGAGACAUGGGAUCCAUCUGCUAGCACUUUCUCAUGUGUACUUGGUACCACAGCUAAAGCAGAGAUGCACAAAGGGGUUAGCUGAUCAAUUGACUAUUGAAAAUGCUGUGGAUAUGCUUCAAUUGGCUAGGCUCUGUGAUGCACCUGAUCUAUAUCUGAAGUGCUUGAAAUUGAUAUCAACUAAUUUCAAGAAAACUGAGAAGACUGAGGGUUGGAAGUUCAUCCUAGAUCAUGAUCCUAAACUCGAACUCGAAAUUCUUCAGUUCAUGGAUGAGGCUGAUUCGAGGAAGAAGAGGACAAGAAGACAUAGAAGGGAGCAGAACUUGUAUUUACAGCUAAGCGAAGCUAUGGAUUGUAUAGAGCACAUAUGCACUGAAGGAUGCACCAGUGUAGGGCCAUGUGGUGAGGAGCCCUGCACAAAGAAGCUUCCAUGUAGCAAAUUCAAAACAUGUCAAGGCGUCCAGCUACUUAUUCGACACUUUGCUACAUGUAAACGAAGGGUGAAUGGAGGUUGUCUGCGAUGCAAAAGGAUGUGGCAGCUACUUAGAUUACAUUCGUCUAUCUGUGAUCAACCUGAUGAAUGUCGAGUUCCACUGUGCAGACAAUUCAAAGAGAAAGUGCAACGAAAGGGAGAUGAUGGGGUAUGGAAAUCACUUGUUGAGAAGGUGGUGUCUGCCAGAGCUUUGUCCUCUUUAUCUCUGCCCAAAAGAAAGAGAGAAGAGGAACCAAAAAUGAACUUACAACAUCAUCAAGUGAGAAGCUUCUUGACAACUCAGUGUCACUAAAAGUUUAGUACUACUGUUACUAUAUAGUUUGAGAAGGAAUUGAUGAUAGAAUUUUAGUAUGUGUGCCAGUCUUGAGUUGGAGAAAUCCUCAUAAAUUUGGGGUAUUCUUCAGCAGUAGAUCAUUGUUAGGAAUGAAUUUUGUACAUGUAGUGGAUGGUUGUCAGUUAUUAUGUUCCUCCAAUUUGCUCAAUGAUCUAGUAAACUUGUGAGGUAAUUUAUUGUUAUUGGCUUCAAUCUGUUGAAGUUUUGUUUCUUUUGUCAUGC